GAGGAAAUUCACAAAUACAACAUGCCGCAGACCUGCCCCAGUUCAUCCAGGCUAAAGUUAACGCCUACAACAUCAGCGAGAUAUGUACAAAGCAGACCUGAAAGACUUGAGCAAGAAGGGAUAUGACCUGAGAACUGAUGCGAUUCCCAUCAGAGCUGCCAAAGCUGCCAGGCAGGCAGCAAGCGAUGUGAGUCCA